rnacentral:rRNA from 1 species
AUUGAACGCUGGCGGAAUGCUUUACACAUGCAAGUCGAGCGGCAGCGCGGGGGCAACCCUGGCGGCGAGCGGCGAACGGGUGAGUAAUACAUCGGAACGUACCCAGUAGUGGGGGAUAACACAUCGAAAGAUGUGCUAAUACCGCAUACGACCUGAGGGUGAAAGGGGGGGAUCGCAAGACCUCUCGCUAUUGGAGCGGCCGAUGUCGGAUUAGCUAGUUGGUGGGGUAAAGGCCUACCAAGGCGACGAUCCGUAGCUGGUCUGAGAGGAUGAUCAGCCACACUGGGACUGAGACACGGCCCAGACUCCUACGGGAGGCAGCAGUGGGGAAUUUUGGACAAUGGGGGCAACCCUGAUCCAGCCAUUCCGCGUGAGUGAAGAAGGCCUUCGGGUUGUAAAGCUCUUUCGGCAGGAACGAAACGGUGGGUCCUAAUACGAUCUGCUAAUGACGGUACCUGAAGAAGAAGCACCGGCUAACUACGUGCCAGCAGCCGCGGUAAUACGUAGGGUGCGAGCGUUAAUCGGAAUUACUGGGCGUAAAGCGUGCGCAGGCGGUUUUGUAAGACAGAUGUGAAAUCCCCGGGCUUAACCUGGGAACUGCGUUUGUGACUGCAAGACUCGAGUGUG